GGCUUCCCAAUAGAAUAUCCAUCCAGGAAAAGGCACAAUGUGAAGGAAACUUCAUUAUCAGGUACUGUGGUAACAUCCUUGCUUCCAUGAACAACCGCACCCGUGAGCCUUCCAGUCGAUGCGGAAUUGGAUUUAUUUUGUGGAAGAACUGAAUUCCUUUCUUUGUUAGCUCGAAGAGCGACGUCGUCAUGUUCUUCGAUGUCGGGAUGUACUGGUUUGGGCCGAAACCUUGCACCGGUUUUGGAAACCUUAAACGAAACCCCCAUUGCCGGAAAAUUCUACAGCAGCGUUGAUCCGGUGCCGGAGACUUAGUGAAGUAGUAUCUGUGUAUGGGGCAUAAUUAAGCAGAGCACAGAGAGG
rnacentral:misc_RNA from 1 species